CAGAUAAAAGGUAGCACCACUUCUCCCUUCCCCCAGGUAGAGCUGUUUGAUAAUGGAGUCGUAUCUGACUAGAACUGAAAGAAUCACAGAAUCCAGGGGCAAGGCAAAAAUCAAGAUAAUUGGAGAUGGACUCUGAUAAAGUGGAUGAACUUGGUUUCUCUGGUGUCUGAUCAAGCUGUAAUCACUCUAAAGUACCCCGUUCAGUCACCUUCAAGGCUAUUGGAGCAGAUUGUUUUCAUCUUUCCUUUGUCCUGGAAGAAGCCUUCACAUGCUUGAGGAAAAGGAUAAAAUCACUGAUGAUGAAAAGUCCUGGAGGUGGCAAGAGAUGGACUCAAUGGAUGAAGCAGAGUGUUACCUAUUCCUCAGAGAAAUGAGUGAAAAAAAAUGAAGAAAGAAGUUGAAUGAAGAUACAGAAGCUGACAUGGUGCUUGCAGUAUAUACUAUCAGUAUACUUUGGGAUUUGAUUUGAAGAUUACUUAAAAUACUCCAAAUUCUCACCCCUAAAUAAUUUCCUUUAGGUUUCCCUUAAGGUCAGAAGGAGAGCAUACAGUAAGAGUGUUUAAACACCUUAAAUAUUAGGUUAAAGGGAUAUUCAAAGAAUUGGUCUAAUUCACUCAUCAUUUUGUUUUCCCUAGGAAAGAACAAGGUCCUGAAAAGAUAGAAUCGAUUCAGCCAAACUCAGCAAAUCCUUUGCCAAUUAGGUCAGCUAAACUCUUCUAACUGGAGAUAUUUGAUAGGGGAGACUAAAGCAUGGAGCCUUCUGGAAAAAGAGAUCUGGGGGAAGAGACCCAAGUGGGAAAAGGAGCCUUGAACAGUUGGAGCAGCAUGAAGUCAUAGUGAAAGGGGGUUGAGAGGAAACAUAUACUUUAAAUGGGUAACUGAAGAGACUCAUAGUCAAGCUUCCCCUAAUUUAAUAUUGCUUCCAUGAAAAUCUUCCCUAACCACAUGGAAUUAUUGAGAACAUAGCAAAUAUAAUCUCCCAUGUGUUCAGGUCACAGCUUCAGUAUUUUGGCCAAUCUGAUAAUUACUUGGCCCAUAUCUCUGAGUGAGUCCAAGUGCUUGCUCUAUGAGUUUGGUUCCCCUCUCCCUUUAGUAAAAGGAAAGAAAAGGAAUCCCAGCAGACCUUGCCCAUAUCCACCCUUUUGGGUGUGGCCUUGGGAAGAGCCUGUCUUUGGCCACUAUUCCCUUCCUCAGAGGUCACUCUUCCCCACACUGGGUCAGGAGGGGGAAAGACCCAGUUCAUAGACACCCAAACCUUAACAGAGACAAUAGCCCCAGGUUCAAUUGGAAUAUUUUUUCUGCUUUUGGGGGGAAUUUAUAAAAUUAUUAAUAAAAUACAAAAAUAAUAGUUUUUUAUUCCCCCAGGCAGCAUCUCUCUGCCAAGCUGGAAAAAAUCCUUCCCAAUUAGUUAUACCCUAUGAAACUAAACAACCAAAACCUAUCCUGCUGCACUCUUUGGUUAUAAUUAAAGACAUAUACACAGAA